rnacentral:rRNA from 1 species
GACGAACGCUGGCGGCGUGCUUAACACAUGCAAGUCGAGCGAUGAAGUUCCUUCGGGAAUGGAUUAGCGGCGGACGGGUGAGUAACACGUAGGUAACCUGCCUCAUAGAGGGGAAUAGCCUUUCGAAAGUAAGAUUAAUACCGCAUAAGAUUGUAGUAUCGCAUGAUACAGCAAUUAAAGGAGUAAUCCGCUAUGAGAUGGACCCGCGUCGCAUUAGCUAGUUGGUGAGGGAACGGCUCACCAAGCCGACGAUGCGUAGCCGACCUGAGAGGGUGAUCGGCCACAUUGGGACUGAGACACGGCCCAGACUCCUACGGGAGGCAGCAGUGGGGAAUAUUGCACAAUGGGGGAAACCCUGAUGCAGCAACGCCGCGUGAGUGAUGACGGCCUUCGGAUUGUAAAACUCUGUCUUCAGGGACGAUAAUGACGGUACCUGAGGAGGAAGCCACGGCUAACUACGUGCCAGCCGCCGCAGUAA